GAUGAAGAACGUAGCGAAAUGCGAUAAGUAGUGUGAAUUGCAGAAUUCAGUGAAUCAUCGAAUCUUUGAACGCACAUUGCGCCCCUUGGUAUUCCAUUGGGCAUGCCUGUUCGAGCGUCAUUUGUACCUUCAAGCUCUGCUUGGUGUUGGGUGUUUGUCUCGCCUCUGCGUGUAGACUCGCCUCAAAACAAUUGGCAGCCGGCGUAUUGAUUUCGGAGCGCAGUACAUCUCGCGCUUUGCACUCAUAACGACGACGUCCAAAAGUACAUUUUUACACUCUUGACCUCGGAUCAGGUAGGGAUACCCGCUGAACUUAAGCAUAUCAAUAAGCGGAGGA
rnacentral:misc_RNA from 1 species